GAAUACCUGCCUGUCACGCAGGGGGUCGCGGGUUCGAGUCCCGUCCGUUCCGCCA
rnacentral:tRNA from 1 species